UGUCUCCUCCAACUCUCCUCAGAAAAGAAUUGGAUUUCAAGCCCGCUCCACACAGCGGGCUUUUUUUC
rnacentral:ncRNA from 1 species